UCAUAAUAAUUAGAUAAGUGUCCGUUCAUGACUUUCCCACUUUGAAUUCCCGGUUUCCCACCCUCUAGUGGCCUACACAGUAAAUUAUUAUAAAACCCGGGCUGCUUGAGUCUUUUCAAUAGUCGCAGCAUUCUCUUAAAACCCUAAUCCAAUCUUCUUUGCAUUUUCUCAGUCGAAGCUCCAUACAACGACAUCAGCAUCAAUGGGGGCGUAUACUUAUGUGUCGGAAUUAUGGAAGAAGAAGCAGUUUGAUGCUAUGAGGUUCUUGCUGAGGGUCCACUGCUGGGAGUAUCGUCAGCUUCCCGCUGUUGUACGUGUCACUAGACCAACCCGCCCUAACAAGGCCUGUGAAAUGGUUAGGCUGAACUUCAACCAAAAUCAAUAAAUAUUAACAACAACUUGCAAUUAAAGAUAACCAGCUGGAAUUAACAACCCAAGCUGUGAUUGUAUUAACAAAAUAAGCUUACAGUAAAGGAUAUAGACGGAGAGAUAUAGCAGAGAAAUUGGGAAAGAAGAAAGGGUACAAUUUCUGACAAAUGCCAAUCUGGUUGCGUUACUUUAGUUCCCUCAGUUAAGUACAGUAAGAGACUUGUUUUAUAACAAAAAACGUAUUCUUCCAUAACAAAAUAUAAAAACGAAAUGGCUUCGCUCCUUUCACCCUUUAAUUGCUUAAUUUUGUUUGUUUCUUUCCUUCUUCUUUCCCCAGCUAAUAUCUGGCUUGAAGUGUUCUUCUUCCUCAUCACAUACGUUCCCCUCAAAAUGACCUUGUCUGUAAGGUUGGAAGAGACGAAUUUCGUUUUGAAUUGCAGCUGCAUCUUCCCAAGUGGCCUCAUCCCUGUCAAAGCAUUUCCACUGAAUCAGCCAUUGUGUCAUUACCUACUAAUUUCUCUAGAUCAUUCUAGUUUCCGUCACCAUUUCAGGUUACAUGUAGAUCAUUUCCUGAUCUCCGCUCUCUGGUAGUAACAAAAUAGGUACCUCAUGUUCUCCUAUUUUUUUCUUAAGUAAAGAUACAUGGAAUACUGGGUGUAUUUUUGAAGUAUGGGGUAGGAUCAAUUCAUACACCACUUGGCCAAUCCUCCUGAUGAUUUUGUAAGGUCCAUAGUAUUUGGUAGCUACCUUUUGAUUAGUCCUUCUCAUAGCAAAAUUUUGCUUGUAAGGAUGUAACUUCAAAUACACCCAAUCACCAACUGCAAACACUCUUUCUACUUUGUGCUGGUCAGCAUAGAAUUUCAUCCUUGCUCGGGCUUGAGCAAGGUGUUCUUUUAGAAGUAGGUCCAUUUGAUGCCUCUCUUGCACUAGUUCUUCCACUGCUGCCACAUUGGUUUGCUAAUAAGUUCCCAAUGCCAAAUGCAGUGGUUUAAUACCAUAUAAGGCUUCAAAGGGGCUCAUUUUAAUUGUUGUGUGGUAGGUCGUAUUAUACCACCAUUCAGCCAGUGAUAACCAGUCAAUUCAUCUCCUAGGUUGGUGGACUGUUAUACACCUUAAAUACAUUCCCAAACAGUGGUUAAGCCUCUCAGUUUGCCCGUUCAUUUGUAGAUGAUACGUAGAGCUCAGGUACAGGUUGGUUUCCAUCAUUUUGAAGAGCACCUGCCAAAACCCACUAGUAAAAAUCUUGUCCCUGUCUAACAUAAUACUUUGAGGCAUUUCAUGGAGCUUAUAGAUGUUAUCAAGGAAGACUUUGGCUACUAUGAUUGCAGAGAAGGGAUGAGAUAAGGCUAUGAAGUGUCCGUAUUUAGUAAAUCGGUCCACCACUACCAGGAUAACUAUUUUCUUUUUUGAAGAGGGCAAGCCUUCAGUAAAAUCCAUGGAUAUGUGGCUCCAUGAAUAUUGUGGUUUAGGCAAAGGUUGUAGUAGGCCAGGGUAGGGAACAUGUUCUACCUUGCAUCUUUGAAAAACAUCACACUGAAUUAUCUUCCGCUUGAUAUAUCUAAUCAUCCCUGACCAAUAAAAGUGUUGCUUAGCCCUGAAUACCAUAGUAGCCUUCAUUUUGGAAAGAAUUGAUAUUUUGAAUCAACUUGGCCCUUAUCUAACCUCCAGAUCCCACAUAUAUCUUGCCUUUAAAUCUGAGUAAACCAUUGUGAUAGGAAAAUUCAGAGUCUUCAUUGGGUUUUAAUCAACAAUUACUCAAUAUGAUUUGCAGCCAUUGCAUCAUCUUAGUAGCUACUUAUCACUUCCUGUAUCCAAAUGGGUGUUACAUUAGAAAUUGCUGCCACUUCCAUAGAUGAUUCUUCUCUCCUGGAAAGAGCAUCGGCCACGACAUUAUCUACCCCUUUCUUUUGUUGAAUUUCAUAGCUGAGUCCUAGUAGUUUAGUCAACCAUUCUUGUUGAAUGGAUGUAGUUAUCCUUUGCUCUAACAAAUACUUUAAUGACUGAUGAUUUGUUUUGAUGAUGAAAUGAUGUCCCUCCAGAUAAUGCCUCCACUUCUCCACCGCAGUAACUAAUGCCAGAAGUUCCUUCUGAUAGAUGGACAUUCUUAGUUUCUCAUUGCAAACUCCUUUGCUGAAGUAGGCAAUUGGUCUUCUAUAUUACAUUAAGACAGCUCCCAUACCUCCAUGGCAAGCAUCAGUCUCAAUGAUGAAUGGUUGAGUAAAAUCUAGUAAAGCUAAAACUGGGGUCCUACACAUUGCUGAUUUUAAUUUCUGGAAGGCCCUAUUUGUCAUUUCAUCCCAUGUGAAAUUAUCCUUCUUCAGUAAAUCCAUCUAAGGUCUUGCAAGAACUCCAUACCCUUUUACAAACUUUUUGUAGUAUCCUGUCAACUUGGGGAACCCCCUUAGUUACUUGAUAGAAAUGGGAGUUAGCCAUUGCUGCAUUGCACUAAUUUUAGUAGGGUCAGCUGCCAUUCCCACUACUGAGAUAAUGUGACCCAGUUACUCCACUCUAGAUUGCCCAAAUGAACACUUAGUCCCUUUAGCAUAUAGUUGUUGCUCCUUCAAUACCUCUAGUACUCUAGCUAAGUGAUUACAAUGGGAUAUCGAGUCACAGCCAUAGACCAAUAUGUCAUCAAAAAAACUGAGAUAAACUUCCUCAAAUACUCCUUGAAAACUUCAUUCAUUAAGCAUUGGAAUGUGGCUGGAGCAUUAGUGAGUCCAAAGGGCAUGACUUUGAACUCAAAUAAGCCAUGGUGUGUCUUAAAUGUUGUCUUAUGUAUGUCACUUUCAGCCACUCUAAACUGAUGGUUCCUUGCCCUCAGGUUAAUUUUGGAAAACCACCUAGCACCUUGUAAUUCAUCAAUUAACUCAUCAAUUAAAGGCAUGGAUAUUUAUCUUUGAUGGUAAUGCUAUUUAGUUGUCUGUAAUUCACACAGAACCUCCAUGUUCAAUCCUUCUUUUUAACCAAUAACAUCGGGAAGGUAUAUGGGCUGUUACUUAGCUGGAUGAUCCCAACCUCUAACAUUUCUUUCACCAUUUUUGUUUUCUGUAUAUACGGGCAUCUGUAGGGUCUUAUUCAGAAAGGUUGAGCUCCUUCCUUCAGUGGAAUCUUAUGGUCAUUGAAUCUAGGAGGUAGCAUCCCUUUUGGCUCUUCAAAUACAUCCGAGUACUGUUUGAUAAUAUCAUGUAUCUCCACAGGAGGUGAUUACUUUUCACCUUCUAUCACUAAUGGAUUUGAGCCACGAACCCACUGGUCCAUCUUUUCCCUUCCUAUCAUCAAAAUUUCAUCCUUUCCCAACUCACUUUUUAGUUCAACUUCCAUUCCCUUAUAACAAAAUUUAAUGCUGCUUUGUUCGAAACCAAAUAUGACUAGGUUAAACUGGCUUAACCAAUCUACCCACAACACCAUAUCACUCCGUCCCAACUUCAGCACCCUCAGCUGGAAUUGGCAUUCCGUUCCUUGCAUGGUCUAAUUUAGUGGAUUACAUGUAGCACUACUGCACAGCUUAUCCCCAUUGGCUACAGUUACUGUCACAGCUAGAGUGACCUCUACUUUGCAUCUCAACUCCCACACUAAUUUUUCAUCGAUGAAAUUGUGAGUGCUACCACUAUCAAUGAGGAUAGACACCUUCUUUCUCUUGAUUUGUCCUGGAAUCCUAAUGGUCUUAGAUUUCAGACUCCCAGAAAGGGCAUUGAUAAAAAUCUCCAUUCUUCCUCUUUUUCAUAAAUUGCUGAUAAUUUUUCUUCGUCGUCUACCUUCAUCUCUUCCUCAUCAAUCGGCAUAAAAUUAAGCAUUCUAUUCUUGCAUAUGUGUCUUGGGGUGUACUUCGCAUCACACCUAAAAUAGAGUCCCAAACUUCUUUUGGUUUGAAUGUCGGAAGGGGUAAUGGUUCUGAACUUCAAUGGAUGUGUUUGAUUUUUUUGGCUUGGGUCAGUGCUGACGUUAGGUAAAUGUUUGGGGUUACUAUCAGGAGGUUUUUGGGGGUAUAUUGGACCAUAUAAAGGGCUAUUUCAAAAGCUUGGGAUACAGAAGUUGGUCUAACAAUUUUAACCAUGGAUUUAAUUUUUUCCUUUAAUCCACCGGUGAAUAUAGAAAUGUAAUAGGAUUCUGCAAGGUGAGGUAAUGAGAGCAUAACUUGAGACUUAAGAUCCUCAAACAACCCCUGAUACUGAGCCACACUUUCCUUCUAACUGAUUUUGCUGAAAACUUCGAUGAUUUCCUCUGCUGUAGAUUUAGCAAACCUUCUACAAAUCUCGGUUGAGAAUAAACUCCAAUCAGCCCCAGGGUUACUAUUGAUGAACCCAUGGAACCGCACAUCUGCCCUUCCUUUUAGAUACAUCUCUGCAAUUCUGACUCUAACUCCAUCCGGCACUUAGUGGAUUUGGAAGUAUUUUUGUGCCUUCCUCGGCCACUCCCUUGGACCCUCCCCAUUGAAAUAAGGAAAAUCGAUCUUGGGUAGCUUCACUUCCAGUCUCCUAUUUCCCUUAUCCAUACUGCUCUCAGAUGUUAUACCUAUUUUUGGUGUGAGUAGCCCUUGUUGGGGAAUACACCGAUUAUGUGCCUAUUAUAUUCAUAAAAGCAUACCGUUUAUUUGCGUGAAAUCGAAACGUAAUUUUGACUUACCAAAAUAAAAUUUGAGAAGCAAAACAAUAAUAGUUACCGAAUCUGAAUGCAUGAAUAUGGAUUUAUCUUUUUUCAAUUCUUGAACAAAAGUAAGUUAUUCUUUGAAUUAAACCUCGCAGAACAAACAUGUAAAUAAUGUUAAUCAGUUUUUGAAAUCAAAUCAUAAUGAAGAGAAAUCAGAAAAUGAAGGAAGAAAGAUGCAAGUGAUGAAUUUUUGGUCAAGGCAAGUGUUUGAUACUUGGUCCUUAAGAUGAAUUUGCCCCGCAUCGGUGCUAACGAUUUUUCGACAAUCAUCUCCCAAGAUACAACGACCACCUCAAGCCAUAGGAGCACUUCAAAUGGCUUUGACUAACGAACUCGAACGAAAUUCCCUCUCUACUGUAACAAUGAUUUUGAUGCAAAAGAUAAUCACUUCUACAAAGUGUUUUAUGUAACUUAACAUGAAAUGAAUAAUAUGGAAUUAUGGAAUUAAUUGGAAUGACAAAUACACAUCCAAGGGGUCCUAUAUAUAGAAGAUGAAGGGUUAUGGGUGAAGGGACACACCCUAAAUCCAGCAUUUUUCAUGGAAAGUUGCAACACUUCAUUUCAAACCUACAUCCUUCCGAAAAAUUGCAAUACUUCAUUCUUCCAACUUUGGGCCGUAAUUUCUCAUUCAUCUGGAAUUGAUUUCGAGAUUCCAAAUAUACCACGACGAUCUACUCGACAAGUAGAAUAACUUGGUCUAUUUACUUUUGUAAUUUGACCAUCGGAUCAAGUCCGAACAUAUGACCGAAGUUGACACGAAAUCAUACAUUUUCAUUUUCCCAGUUUUAAACUUAACCAAUUUUCGAUUAAUUUUUGAACCAAUUACAACAGCCCUUCCCUGAUCGUGGAGUUUCCGAAUGAUCCUAUCUUAUCUUUGUCCUUGGGUUCUCCCCUUUGCCCGCUCCAUUGUGCCAUCAUUGCAACCUUCAUAUUUAGAAUUCAUCUCACUCAUCAUUGCCUCCAUUCUAUCAUGUUUAUUACAUGGAUUCUGUCAGGUUUGAUCAGACAUCCCCACCUUAACACCGACAUUUUUAAAAGCUUCUCCAGGGUUUUCCACAUCUCUGUCUAAUUUCUUCAGAUGUUCCUCUACUACCUUGGCCCUAGUAUCCAUCCCCAGAAUUUUUUAUAUCUCUGAUACCACUUGUAAUCGUUGGGCUGAACUUCAACCAAAACCGACCAAUAUUCACCACAACAACUUGCAAUUAAAGAUAACCAGCUGGAAUUAACUACCCAAGCUGUGAUUGUAUUAACAAAAUAAGAUUACAGUAAAGGAGAAAGACGGAGGAAAAUAGCAGAGAAAUUGGGGAAGAAGAAAGAGCUGAUAUCUGGCUUGAAGUGUUCUUCUUCCUCAUCACAGCCCACCGCCUCGGAUACAAGGCCAAGCAGGGAUAUGUUAUCUACCGUGUACAUGUGAGACGUGGAGGAAGGAAGAGACCAGUUCCCAAGGGUAUUGUGUACAGUAAGCCCACCAACCAGGGUGUUACUCAACUGAAAUUCCAACGCAGUAAGCGCUCUGUUGCAGAGGAACGUGCUGGAAGGAAACUGAGUGGUCUUAGGGUUCUGAACUCUUACUGGAUCGACGAGGAUUCAACUUACAAGUACUCUGAAGUUAUGUUGGUGGACACAGCCCAUGCUGCUGUCCGUAAUGACCCAAGGAUCAACUGGAUCUGCAAUGCUGUCCACAAACACAGGGAACUUCGUGGUCUUACCUCUGCUGGAAAGAAAUACAGGGGUCUUCGUGGAAAAGGGCAGUUGAACCACAAAGCAAGACCUUCAAGAAGGGCUUCCUGGAAGAAGAACCAGACACUUUCCCUUCGGCGCUACCGUUGAAAAUGAUAUUUUUGAGUGUCCACCUUACAGCGACUAAUCAUGGGAUCUAUGAUCCAAUCCCUCUUCACAUAGACCAGGUAAACCAUUGUGUCUCAACUUGCAUUAGUAGUCGAGUUUUAAAGCGAGUGAACAAGUUUACGAGAGUUUUAACAGAUGUGGAGCUUCAAACUUUUAUAUAUCAGAAUAUGGUUACUCCUAACGAAUUCAGCUGCAGAAUUGCGUUACUGGAAUUUAUUUUACUCGAAAAAGAAUGAAAUUUGGCUAUGGAAAUGGCACGUCAUGUGACAUGCCUUUGUAAUUUCAUAUAUUCGAGUGUCCCAACAAGAAAUCAAAUUUUGUUAGUACCAAGUCCUGGUUUGGUACUCAUUAAAUUACAUUUCA